CAGCGUCACGAGUGGGAAUCGUAUUUAUUUGGCCUAAAGCGUCCGUAGCCGGUUUGGAAAAUUCAUUGUGAAAUCAUUGUGCUCAACGCAAUGGCGUGCAGUGAACACUACCAGACUUGAGACUGGAAGGAGUCAGAAGUAUUCUUGGGGGAGCGGUAAAAUGCUAUAAUCCCAAGAGGACUACCUGUGGCGAAGGCGUCUGACUAGUACAGUUCUGACGGUGAGGGACGAAAGCUAGGGGAGCGAUCCGGAUUAGAGACCCGAGUAGUCC
rnacentral:rRNA from 1 species